CCACUGCUAACAUGGUAUCGGAGCCUUGGGCUCCUUGAUCCUGAGAAUGGCGCUUGCUGGCCAGGAGGCUAGUGAUGAGGAGGAGGAUGAGCCUCCCGAUAGCAAUCCCUCUGGCAAUGUUUGGGACGCUUGAGACGUUGCACCAAGGCACCAGGCUGUGUACAGGUGCUGAGCAACAAGCAGCAGCAAGCAGAGAACAAAGCCAGUGGGAGAUUGAGAGAUUUCAACAAGCCACAUCAAGAAUUGGGUCAAGAUUCAAGAACAUUGCAUAGCAAUUCUUUGCAGGAAUUUCCAGCAAUUGGGAAGGAUGCUUAUGGAGAUUCAAGUGCCUAGUCGCAGAGAAGUGGGAGCCUGGCAGUUCACGGCCAAGACCACAUGCUAGAGGCAAGAUUGAAGCCAUAGCAAGAAGCAAAGAGUGUGCAAGCAAGUCCAAGACCAAGAACCAAGUUUUAGGUAGUUGAUUGAUGAGUUUUUCAUAUGCUUUUCUCAUCAGCUCUCCAUGCUCAUCA
rnacentral:lncRNA from 1 species